rnacentral:rRNA from 1 species
CUCGUAGGCGGCCAACUAAGUCAGACGUGAAAUCCCCAGGCUCAACCUGGGAACUGCGUCUGAUACUGGAUGGCUUGAAUCCGGGAGAGGGAUGCAGAAUUCCAGGUGUAGCGGUGAAAUGCGUAGAUAUCUGGAGGAAUACCGGUGGCGAAGGCGGCAUCCUGGACCGGCAUUGACGCUGAGGAGCGAAAGCCAGGGGAGCAA